AUAUUGAAACACAGGUUCCAGUAUGAUCACCAAAGUUAAGCAAUGUUGCGCUUGGUCAGUACCUAGAUGUGUGACCGCUUAGGAAUACCAGGUGCUAUA